rnacentral:rRNA from 1 species
CCUACGGGAGGCAGCAGUGGGGAAUUUUCCGCAAUGGGCGAAAGCCUGACGGAGCAACGCCGCGUGAGGGAUGAAGGCCUCUGGGCUGUAAACCUCUUUUAUCAAGGAAGAAGAUCUGACGGUACUUGAUGAAUAAGCCACGGCUAAUUCCGUGCCAGCAGCCGCGGUAAUACGGGAGUGGCAAGCGUUAUCCGGAAUUAUUGGGCGUAAAGCGUCCGCAGGCGGUCUUGUAAGUCUGUCGUUAAAGCGUGGAGCUCAACUCCAUUUCGGCGGUGGAAACUACAAGACUAGAGUGUGGUAGGGGCAGAGGGAAUUCCCGGUGUAGCGGUGAAAUGCGUAGAUAUCGGGAAGAACACCAGUGGCGAAGGCGCUCUGCUGGGCCAUAACUGACGCUCAUGGACGAAAGCUAGGGGAGCGAAAGGGAUUAGAUACCCCUGUAGUCCUAGCCGUAAACGAUGAACACUAGGUGUCGGGGGAAUCGACCCCUCGGUGUCGUAGCUAACGCGUUAAGUGUUCCGCCUGGGAGUACGCACGCAAGUGUGAACUCAAGAUGAGCGNGNGAGNGCGACGACGACGACGAGGAGAG